AUUGAACGCUGGCGGCAGGCCUAACACCUGCAAGUCGAACGAGUGGCGGACGGGUGAGUAAUGUCUGGGAAACUGCCCGAUGGACGGGGGUAACUACUGGAAACGGUAGAUAAUACCGCAUACCAUCGGAUGAGCCCUAGUGGGAUGAGCUAGUAGGUGGGGUAACGGCUCACCUAGACGACUAUCCCUAGCUGGUCUGAGAGGAUGACCGGCCACACUGGAACUGAGACACGGCCCAGACUCCUACGGGAGGCAGCAGUGGGGAAUAUUGCACAAUGGGCGCAAGCCUGACGCAGCCAUGCCGCGUGUAUGAAGAAGGCCUUCGGGUUGUAAAGUCCUUUCAUCGGGGAGGCGUUACUCGCAGAAGAAGCAACGGCUAACUCCGUGCCAGCAGCCGCGGUAAUAC
rnacentral:rRNA from 1 species